rnacentral:tRNA from 1 species
UCCCUGGUGGCUCAGAUGGUAGAGAAUCUGCCUGAAAUGUAGGAGACCCAGGUUCGAUCCCUGGGUCCGGAA